ensembl:snRNA U1 U1 spliceosomal RNA
AAACUCUCUGGGUAGUUCUUACGCAAGCAGGUUAGCCUUGGUGCAAGGGCUGGCAUUUGAAAACCACUGGUUUAAAUAGAGGGAUACUUGCGGUUUCCCCAAAUGUGGGAAACUUGCCCGCAUAAUUGGUGGUAGUGGGAAACUGCAUUUGUGCUUUCCCU